rnacentral:rRNA from 1 species
UACGUAGGGUGCGAGCGUUAAUCGGAAUUACUGGGCGUAAAGCGUGCGCAGGCGGCGCGUUAAGACAGGUGUGAAAGCCCCGAGCUUAACUUGGGAAUUGCGCUUGUGACUGGCGUGCUGGAGUGUGGCAGAGGGAGGUGGAAUUCCACGUGUAGCAGUGAAAUGCGUAGAGAUGUGGAGGAACACCGAUGGCGAAGGCGGCUCUCUGGGACGGUACUGACGCUGAGACGCGAAAGCGUGGGGAGCGAACAGG